rnacentral:misc_RNA from 1 species
GAUGAAGAACGCAGCGAAAUGCGAUAAGUAAUGUGAAUUGCAGAAUUCAGUGAAUCAUCGAAUCUUUGAACGCACAUUGCGCCCGCCAGUAUUCUGGCGGGCAUGCCUGUUCGAGCGUCAUUUCAACCCUCAAGCCCAGCUUGGUGUUGGGGAUUGGCACAGGCGCCCUCGGGCGCCCGCCGUCCCCUAAAUCUAGUGGCGGUCCCGCUGCAGCCUCCUCUGCGUAGUAGUUUUCUCCUCGCAAGGGCAGCUCGGUGGCGACCUCGCCGUAAAACCCCCAACUUCUGAAAGGUUGACCUCGAAUCAGGUAGGAAUACCCGCUGAACUUAAGCAUAUAAUAAGCGGAGGA